rnacentral:rRNA from 1 species
AGAGUUUGAUCAUGGCUCAGAUUGAACGCUGGCGGCAGGCCUAACACAUGCAAGUCGAACGGUAACAGGAAGCAGCUUGCUGCUUCGCUGACGAGUGGCGGACGGGUGAGUAAUGUCUGGGAAACUGCCUGAUGGAGGGGGAUAACUACUGGAAACGGUAGCUAAUACCGCAUAACGUCGCAAGACCAAAGUGGGGGACCUUCGGGCCUCAUGCCAUCAGAUGUGCCCAGAUGGGAUUAGCUAGUAGGUGGGGUAACGGCUCACCUAGGCGACGAUCCCUAGCUGGUCUGAGAGGAUGACCAGCCACACUGGAACUGAGACACGGUCCAGACUCCUACGGGAGGCAGCAGUGGGGAAUAUUGCACAAUGGGCGCAAGCCUGAUGCAGCCAUGCCGCGUGUGUGAAGAAGGCCUUCGGGUUGUAAAGCACUUUCAGCGGGGAGGAAGGCGAUAAGGUUAAUAACCUUGUCGAUUGACGUUACCCGCAGAAGAAGCACCGGCUAACUCCGUGCCAGCAGCCGCGGUAAUACGGAGGGUGCAAGCGUUAAUCGGAAUUACUGGGCGUAAAGCGCACGCAGGCGGUCUGUCAAGUCGGAUGUGAAAUCCCCGGGCUCAACCUGGGAACUGCAUUCGAAACUGGCAGGCUAGAGUCUUGUAGAGGGGGGUAGAAUUCCAGGUGUAGCGGUGAAAUGCGUAGAGAUCUGGAGGAAUACCGGUGGCGAAGGCGGCCCCCUGGACAAAGACUGACGCUCAGGUGCGAAAGCGUGGGGAGCAAACAGGAUUAGAUACCCUGGUAGUCCACGCCGUAAACGAUGUCGAUUUGGAGGUUGUGCCCUUGAGGCGUGGCUUCCGGAGCUAACGCGUUAAAUCGACCGCCUGGGGAGUACGGCCGCAAGGUUAAAACUCAAAUGAAUUGACGGGGGCCCGCACAAGCGGUGGAGCAUGUGGUUUAAUUCGAUGCAACGCGAAGAACCUUACCUACUCUUGACAUCCAGAGAACUUAGCAGAGAUGCUUUGGUGCCUUCGGGAACUCUGAGACAGGUGCUGCAUGGCUGUCGUCAGCUCGUGUUGUGAAAUGUUGGGUUAAGUCCCGCAACGAGCGCAACCCUUAUCCUUUGUUGCCAGCGGUUAGGCCGGGAACUCAAAGGAGACUGCCAGUGAUAAACUGGAGGAAGGUGGGGAUGA